ACAUAUUCUGCAGAGAGAGUAAGGUGAAAUUUCACUUGUGUUGAGAAUUCUUGUAGAAGGAAGAGAGCUUUAGCACUUGUGGAUAAAGAUUUAGAUUCCUCACUUAAGACCAACUGAGUACAAUAGAAGUAGAUUAGCAAGGAAUCCCAUGACAGUUCAUCGUGCUUAUGGUGAUGUUCUAUUUGGUGGAUCCGUCCGGAAAAGGAUUAUUCAAACAUUUUUGGUAGAGUAGAAGAUUAUGAAGAAGGUUUUGAAAAUCCAAAAAGCUAAAGAAAACAGGUUGCAAAGAGUUACUCAACUAACAUUACAUUAUGAGCA